UUCCGGUUGAUCCUGCCGGAAGCUACUGCUAUUGGGAUUCGACUAAGCCAUGCGAGUCAAGGUGUCUUCGGACGCCGGCAUACGGCUCAGUAACACGUAGGUAACCUACCCUCAGGACUGAGAUAACCCCGGGAAACUGGGGCUAAUAUUAGAUAGAUAAAAGAUACUGGAAUGUUCUUUUAUCCAAAGCUUUUGCGCCUGAGGAUGGGCCUGCGCCCGAUUAGGUUGUUGGUGGGGUAAUGGCCCACCAAGCCUACGAUCGGUACGGGCAGUGGGAGCUGAAGCCCGGAGUUGGGGACUGAGACAAGGCCCCAGGCCCUACGGGGCGCAGCAGGCGCGAAACCUCUGCAAUGCGGGAAACCGUGACAGGGGGAUCCCAAGUGCUCAUGCAUUGCAUGGGCUGUUCUUUGGCCUAAGUAACCAGAGGAGUAAGGGCUGGGCAAGACCGGUGCCAGCCGCCGCGGUAAUACCGGCAGCUCAAGUGGUAGCCGCGAUUAUUGGGCCUAAAACGUUCGUAGCCGGAUAAGUAAGUCUUUGGUUAAAUCCUGCGACUUAACCGUGGGAAAUCUAGAGAUACUGCUUGUCUUGAGACCGGGAGAGGUUGGAGGUACUCCCAGGGUAGGGGUGAAAUCCUGUAAUCCUGGGGGGACCACCUGUGGCGAAGGCGUCCAACUGGAACGGGUCUGACGGUGAGGGACGAAACCUAGGGGAGCGAGCCGGAUUAGAUACCCGGGUAGUCCUAGGCGUAAAUGAUGCGAGUUAAGUGUGGGGGCAUCCACGAGAUGGCCCUGUGCUGUAGGGUAGCCGUUAAACUCGCUGCCUGGGGAGUACGGUCGCAAGGCUGAAACUAAAGGAAUUGGCGGGGAGCACCACAAGAGGUGAG
rnacentral:rRNA from 1 species